GGACGAACGCUGGCGGCGUGCUUAACACAUGCAAGUCGAACGAUGAUCUCCCGCUUGCGGGGGUGAUUAGUGGCGAACGGGUGGGUAAUACGUGAGUAACCUGCCCUUGACUCUGGGAUAAGCCUGGGAAACCGGGUCUAAUACUGGAUACUACUUCCUGCCGCAUGGUGGGGGGUGGAAAGGGUUUUACUGGUUUUGGUUGGGCUCACGGCCUACCAGCUUGUUGGGGGAGAAAUGGCUCACCAAGGCGACGACGGGUAGCCGGCCUGAGAGGGUGACCGGCCACACUGGGACUGAGACACGGCCCAGACUCCUACGGGAGGCAGCAGUGGGGAAUAUUGCACAAUGGGCGGAAGCCUGAUGCAGCGACGCCGCGGGAGGGAUGACGGCCUUCGGGUUGUAAACCUCUUUCAGCAGGGAAGAAGCCACAAGUGACGGUACCUGCAGAAGAAGCGCCGGCUAACUACGUG
rnacentral:rRNA from 1 species